rnacentral:tRNA from 1 species
GCAGGAAUAGCUCAGUGGUAGAGCACGUUCUCAGCAUGCAUGAGGUCCUGGGUUCAACCCCCAGUACCUCCA